CGGGCGGCCGUGACCCUGCUGGAGUCCGGGGGGGACCUCCAGCCCCCCGGGGGGUCCCUGCGCCUCCUCUGCCGCGCCUCCGGAUUCGAGUUUAGGAAUUUUGGGAUGUUCUGGAUGCGCCAGAGACCCGGGAAGGCGCUGGAAUGGGUGGCGAGCAUUGACAGCGAUAGCUACGCCUGGUACGCGCCAUCCACGCAGGGCCGGUUCACCAUCAGCAGGGACAACGGGCAGAGCUCGGUGACGCUGAGCAUGAACAACCUCCAGGACGAGGAUUCCGGGGUUUAUUUCUGCGCCAAAUCUUCUGAGGAUAAUGCUGGUUAUCGUCCUUAUCGUGGUGACGAACCCUGUCCCUGUCACUGUGUCCUCACAUGUCCCCAAAUCCCAGGAUUUGGCCCCAAAUCCCAGCCCUGA